AGAGUUUGAUCAUGGCUCAGGACGAACGCUGGCGGCGUGCCUAAUACAUGCAAGUCGAGCGAAUCUUUGGGAGCUUGCUCCCUAUAGAUUAGCGGCGGACGGGUGAGUAACACGUGGGUAACCUGCCUGUAAGACUGGGAUAACUUCGGGAAACCGGAGCUAAUACCGGAUAAUUUCUUUUCUCGCAUGAGAAGAGAUGGAAAGAUGGUUUCGGCUAUCACUUACAGAUGGACCCGCGGCGCAUUAGCUAGUUGGUGAGGUAACGGCUCACCAAGGCCACGAUGCGUAGCCGACCUGAGAGGGUGAUCGGCCACACUGGGACUGAGACACGGCCCAGACUCCUACGGGAGGCAGCAGUAGGGAAUCUUCCGCAAUGGACGAAAGUCUGACGGAGCAACGCCGCGUGAGCGAAGAAGGCCUUCGGGUCGUAAAGCUCUGUUGUUAGGGGAGAACAAGUACGAGAGUAACUGCUCGUACCUUGACGGUACCUAACCAGAAAGCCCGGCUAACUACGUGCCAGCAGCCGCGGUA
rnacentral:rRNA from 1 species